AUCCUGCGGUUCACAAGCAUGAUGAUUGGGUGUUCAUGCUGUAUGAAUGAAAUGUGCCUUUCUCAAAUCUUGUUAUGACGUAGGCACAUUACCUGUCUGAUG